rnacentral:rRNA from 1 species
GACGAACGCUGGCGGCGUGCUUAACACAUGCAAGUCGAACGGAAAGGCCCUUCGGGGUACUCGAGUGGCGAACGGGUGAGUAACACGUGGGUGAUCUGCCCUGCACUUUGGGAUAAGCCUGGGAAACUGGGUCUAAUACCGAAUAGGACCACGCGCUUCAUGGUGUGUGGUGGAAAGCUUUUGCGGUGUGGGAUGGGCCCGCGGCCUAUCAGCUUGUUGGUGGGGUAAUGGCCUACCAAGGCGACGACGGGUAGCCGGCCUGAGAGGGUGACCGGCCACAAUGGGACUGAGAUACGGCCCAGACUCCUACGGGAGGCAGCAGUGGGGAAUAUUGCACAAUGGGCGCAAGCCUGAUGCAGCGACGCCGCGUGAGGGAUGACGGCCUUCGGGUUGUAAACCUCUUUCAAUAGGGACGAAGCGCAAGUGACGGUACCUAUAGAAGAAGCACCGGCCAACUACGUG